GCACUGAGACCACACCCUCCAGAACCAACCAGUGUAUUAAACCCAAAUUAUUAUUUUGAAACCCUAUCAAAAUAGCGAGUACAGUACACAUGUCAGCGAACACUUGUGAACCAGCGGAAGCUGAGCUGGAGACGGGGGGUGCCGGAGUUUCGACCACUUUUCUUCUCGCCUUGGAAACGUCAACUGGAAGUGGCAAUAAACAGCUUUGAAGUAAGCACAUUUGGAAGGCAUAUUCGCUGUGGAUAUUUCGUUGCAGAUUCAGCAAAACUCCCGAAGCCCAAGUUCACAGGAUGCCAAAACAAGCGCAGGUGGAGGCGACCGUGCAAACAACUUGCUGCCAGCAGCAGGUGAAAAACAACAACAGCAAGGCGGGAUGAGCUGGGCGGACGACAGAUGGACGCACAGGGGCCUGACUUGGCGGCGGCGGCAGAACGGCAAAAAGAAAAAAAAUGAUGGUGAAAAACGGAGGGAAUGGACAGAUGAAGGAGGCACAGGAGAACAAGUCGAUACAGACAUCUCGUGGGGUUCAAGUGCAAGCGAGGGAGUGGGGGAGUGGGGGGGGGCUGUCCUCGAGGGGCUCUGGACACAGAGAGCCUCACUUUUUCUUCCUUGUUAUAAUGUUCAAAAUGUCAAUUGGUGUAAUUAAAGGUACAGUUCACAUUUUCGCUGGUUGGUUGGUUUGGAGACUUGGGCUGGGGUCGGCAGCAAGUGCAAGUCAGGGGGGGCUAUCCUGACCUGAAGAUGAUGAAAUUGUCAAUUGGGGUGCAAUUAUUAUUUUUUUCCUUGUUGUGUAUAGUUCACUUUUUGAGUUCCCGACAACAGCUAUAAAUAAUGUGCUUUCUGCGGUCCCAGUCAGUUCAUGGUUUGUAGUUGGACUUGGGAUGCGAGGCAGCAGAGUAUCCUGUGAAAAAUAGAAAAGGCAGGAGAGAAUGAGUGAAGAACUUGAGACAUCAUAAGUGCAAGUAGAGCGAGGGUGCUUGACAGCCGUCUCACAGCAGCGGACCACCGCCUGGCAGGA